GACUCUCCACGGGACCCUUCACGGGACUCUCCACGGGACUCUCCACGGGACUCUCCACGUGACUCUCCACGAGACUCUCCACGGGACCCUUCACGGGACUCUCCACGGGACUCUCCACGGGACUCGGCGGAGCCAUGUUCGGCAGCGGGCGUUCUCUGGGGCAGAGCCCGGCGCGCUCCCCGCGGCUGCCGCGGUCUCCCCGCCUCGGCCACCGCCGCGCGGGGAGCACUGGGGACGGGGCGGGCUCGGGCCGCACCCUCUCCAUGGAGAACAUCCAGUCGCUCAACGCGGCCUACGCCACCUCGGGGCCCAUGUACCUGGGCGAACACGACAUGACGGGCCUGCACGCUUCGCCGUUGCCCGUGAAGAGCGUCGUGACGCUGGGCCGAGGGCCCGGAGCGCUCCAGGCGCGCCUCUCGUACGGCGGCCGCGUCACCACCAUGGGCAGCAGCCCCAACAUCGCGGCGGCCAGCGGGCAGGUGGAAGCUCUGCACGCAGCCCUUGGGGAGCUCGCGGGACCCGGAGGACUGGGACUGUCCAUGCACCACCACCACCACCAGCAGCAGCAGCAGCACGUGGUCCGGCCGGGUGCGCAGGGCCAGCUGAAGGAGCUGCUGUGCGAGAACGAGGCUCUGAGACGAGAGCUGGACGCCAAGGACAACAAGCUGGGCUCCUCCAUGAACUCCAUCAAGACGUUCUGGAGCCCCGAGCUGAAGCGGGAGAGAGCGCUGCGCAAGGAGGAGGCGGCUCGCAUCGCGAUGCUCCGCGAGCAGCUACGGGUGGCUCAGGACGAGCACCAGACCAUGCAGAUGACAGUGCACGCCUUGCAGGAGGAGCUCCGCUGCUCGCGCGACCUCACGCCGCUCUUCUCGGCGGACGGACGCGCGCGCUGCUCGGGUCCCGGCGGGAGCGCGGGGGACCUGCCCUCGGAGGAGAGCGUGCAGAGGCUGCGAGCCGAGCACGAGCGCCAGGCCAAGGAGCUCUACCUGCUGCGUCAGACCCUGGAGGAGAUGGAGCUGCGAAUCGAGACGCAGAAGCAGACCCUGGGAUCGCGCGACGAAUCCAUCCGCAAGCUGCUCGACAUGAUCCAGGAGGGGGGAGGGGUUCGCUCCGGAGGGGGGUCCUCGGGGGUCGGCGUGGACCCCCUCUGCGACGAGGGGGACGGCGGCACCACCGAGGGGGAGGAACGGGCGCGGCACCAGCUGGCGGACGCGGACGCGCAGAUCUCUCGCCUCCAGCUAAUGCUGGAGCAGCGGGAGAGGGAGAACCAGCAGUGCCGAGAGUGCUGGGUUACAGACAGCCACGUGGAGCAUGGCCACCACCACGACUAUGCUCCCCGCAUUCACCAGCCGGCAUGGGCAAGUAUGGAGCUCCACCGGCGCGCCGACCUCGGCUCCGACACGGCCAAGACCAAGGCCCUGCAGACCGUGAUCGAGAUGAAGGACACAAAGAUCGCGUCUCUGGAGAGGACCCUGCGCGACCUGGAGGAUGAGAUUCAGACGCUGCGCUCCAGCGGGGCUCUCUCCCUCGAGGAGCGGCAGGAGGAGCUCAAGCAGAUGGAGGUGUACAAGAGCCACUCCAAGUUCAUGAAGAGCAAGAUCGACCAGCUGAAGGGCGAGCUGUCCCGCAAGGACACGGAGCAGCUGGGCCUGCAGACCAAGCUGGAGACGCUCACCAACCAGAACUCGGACAACAAGCAGCACAUCGAGGUGCUCAAGGAAUCCCUCGCCGCCAAGGAGCAGCGGGCCGCCAUCCUGCAGGCCGAGGUGGAGGCGUUGCGCGCGCGUCUGGAGGAGAAGGAGAGCAUGGUGGCGCGCAAGGUGCAGCAGGUGCAGGAGCUGGCGGAGGAGAAGGGGUCGCUCGGAGGGGAGAUCCGCGACUUCAAGGACAUGAUGGAGGUGAAGGAGCGCAAGAUCAACGUCCUGCAGAAGAAGAUCGAGAACCUGCAGGAGCAGCUGCGUGACAAGGAGAAGCAGAUAAGCAGCCUGCGUGAGCGGGUCAAGUCGCUGCAGGCCGACUCGAGCAACGCGGACACGGCGCUCGCCACACUCGAGGAGGCGCUCUCAGACAAGGAGCGCAUCAUUGACCGCAUGAAGCAGCAGCGCGAGCAGGAGGAUCGCGAUAAGCACGAGGAGGCGGAGGCUCACAGGCGCGAGAGCAAGGGGCUCAAAGAGAGAGUGAACACUCUCCUGGCAGAGCUCACCGACAAGGAGUGCGCCCUGCAGGAGCUGAAGCAGUACUCGGCGGCGCUCGCCUCCGUGGGGAUGAAGAAGGAGGCGCGGCUGAAGGCGCUCGAGGCCGGCCUCGAGGGGCGCCGGGAAGACCUCAGCCGCGUGGAGGCGGCGCUCAAGAAGGGCGGCGAGGAGGCCUCCCUGCCGGAGCAAGCCGAGCGGCUGCGCCAGCUCGAGUCUGAGCAGCAGCAGCAGAGGGCCGGCGCGAUGCACGCGGCCGCCGAGACGCAGCGCCUCCUCGACACGCUGGGCCGCGUGGAGGCGGAGGAGCGUGACAAGGACGCGAGGAUAGCGGAGCUCGAGAGGCUGUUGAAAGAGCAGAACAAGAAGAGCUCCAACCUGAAGCAAAGGGACCAAGUGGAGAAGCGACGAGGAGUGCAGGAGGACCCCAGGAGGAGAGAGAACGUUCCAGGCGAGAGCCCUCAGCUACUCCAGGAUGCACUGCGCCGCCGCGAGGAGCGAAUCGAGGAGCUGGAGGAGGCUCUGCGCCAGAGCGCGAGCGCCACCUCCGAGCGGGACCUCGCACUCGCCCAGGAGGAAGCGGGGCGCAGCGCGGCUCACAAACAGAGGCGAGGCCCCCUGGGCCCCCCGCAGCGCAGCGGCUAUGAGCCGACAGCGGCCCAGGUGGAGGAGCUGCAGGUGACGCUGGAGCGAUGCCGCCACGAGCUGGAGGCGACGCGCUCGCGCCUCGGCGCCACGCAGCAGGCCCUGCGUGACCGCGAGACGCACCUGGCGAGCCUGCGGGCCGAGCGCAGGCGGCAGCUCGAGGAGGUUCUCGAGAUGAAGCAGGAGGCUCUACUGGCCGCCAUCAGCGAGAAGGACGCCAACAUCGCCCUCUUGGAGCUCUCCUCCUCCUCCUCCUCUAAGAAGAAGAAGGCCCUGGACGAGGUGGGGGGCCUCAGGCAGGAGAAGGACCGCCUCGUGCAGCAGCUCAAGCAGCAGACACAGAACCGCAUGAAGCUGAUGGCGGACAACUACGAUGACGAUUACCACCAGUCACUGGGUCGCGGUCCCGUGUCCAACCAGGGACCGUCUCCUGACCAGGACGAUGAGGAGGGAAUUUGGGCCUAAACAGAGGCGCCGCGCCCACCCGAGCAGCUGUUUUGUUCAGAGGGAUGAGCCACGUGAAUCGACUCCACCUACAACCUCCUCCCCAUGACCCCGCUCCCCAGCCAGCGCCCAGCCCCGCCAUUCUGCAGGGACCCCCCCCCCCCCAUCCCAGAAUUGAGCCGCCCCCCGAAAAUCCCCUCCUGCCGUCUGACGAUGGGGGGGGGGGCGAUGUACCCCCCACGAGCCUCACCCCCACACGCUCGAGCCCGCUCCUCUUUGGCGGCCGGGACCCCCGGCAGAUGCGAGGAUCGAGCGCAGCGCGGCGCAGCUCUCCAAGGAACAGAGUCCCUCCAUCGGGACCCCGUCCAGGGGAACCUCUUCAAGCCCCGCUCCCGUCCUCCCCUCCGCAUCGACCCCGCACGGACCCCCUCAGACCCCAUCAUACCCACUCGGACCCCGCUCUCACAGGGCCCCCCACCGACCCACCCACGGCCGCAAGCCUUGAGGGGGGACACAGCCCCCGCUCCCCCGACCCACCGCGAGUUGCUCCUCAGUCGAAUGCAAAAGCAGACCACGGGAAACGAGACCCCUACUGCUCCACCAGAUCCACCUGGAGCUCCACCAGAUCCACGUGGAGCAUCACCGGAUCAAUCUGGAGUUCCACCGCGUCCACAUGGAGCUCUACCAGAUCCAUCUGGAUCACCACGGGAUCCACCACACACACCGGGUGCUAAACCACAGAGGCCCAGUCACUGUGAACCGGUGGAGCCUGAGCGCUUCACGGCUCCACCAACUCAACCACAUUGCAAAUACAGAUGCAUACACGUACAUACAGGUAUACACGCAAACAGAUCGUAAUCCACGUAAGCAGAUAACCCACGAAAGCAAGAUCAUCACCCACGACACCAGAUGAUCACCCAUGAAACCAGAUCGUCACCCACAAAACCAUAUCAUAACCAUGAAACCAUAUUAUCACCUACGACACCAGAUCAUAACCCAUGAAACCAGAUCAUCACCAACGACACCAAAUCAUCACCCACGCCAGAACUCACGCAACCAGAUCACAGAUCACGGACCAAAAAAAAAACCAGAGCACAAACCUCACGAACGACCCACGACGGGUGGCCAGGUGGACAUAUCAUCGUCUCGUUGAUUCGUCCCAUCGCUGGUGACGAGGAGGAACCGGACACGUGCGAGUUUUUUUGCGCCUACA